rnacentral:rRNA from 1 species
AGAGUUUGAUCCUGGCUCAGAUUGAACGCUGGCGGCAUGCUUUACACAUGCAAGUCGAACGGGGUUAAGGGGCUUGCUCCUUAAUCUAGUGGCGAACGGGUGAGUAAUGCAUCGGAACGUACCCGGGAGUGGGGGAUAACGCACCGAAAGGUGUGCUAAUACCGCAUAUUCUGUGAGCAGGAAAGCAGGGGACCUUAGGGCCUUGUGCUUCCGGAGCGGCCGAUGUCGGAUUAGCUAGUUGGUGAGGUAAAGGCUCACCAAGGCGACGAUCCGUAGCGGGUCUGAGAGGAUGAUCCGCCACACUGGGACUGAGACACGGCCCAGACUCCUACGGGAGGCAGCAGUGGGGAAUUUUGGACAAUGGGCGCAAGCCUGAUCCAGCCAUGCCGCGUGUCUGAAGAAGGCCUUCGGGUUGUAAAGGACUUUUGUCAGGAAGGAAAACCUAUUGGCUAAUAUCCAGUGGGGAUGACAGUACCUGAAGAAUAAGCACCGGCUAACUACGUGCCAGCAGCC